rnacentral:rRNA from 1 species
GACGAACGCUGGCGGCGUGCUUAACACAUGCAAGUCGAACGGAAAGGCCCUGCUUUUGUGGGGUGCUCGAGUGGCGAACGGGUGAGUAACACGUGAGUAACCUGCCCUUGACUUUGGGAUAACUUCAGGAAACUGGGGCUAAUACCGGAUAGGAGCUCCUGCUGCAUGGUGGGGGUUGGAAAGUUUCGACGGUUGGGGAUGGACUCGCGGCUUAUCAGCUUGUUGGUGGGGUAGUGGCUUACCAAGGCUUUGACGGGUAGCCGGCCUGAGAGGGUGACCGGCCACAUUGGGACUGAGAUACGGCCCAGACUCCUACGGGAGGCAGCAGUGGGGAAUAUUGCACAAUGGGCGGAAGCCUGAUGCAGCAACGCCGCGUGCGGGAUGACGGCCUUCGGGUUGUAAACCGCUUUCGCCUGUGACGAAGCGUGAGUGACGGUAAUGGGUAAAGAAGCACCGGCUAACUACGUGCCAGCAGCCGCGGUGAUACGUAGGGUGCGAGCGUUGUCCGGAUUUAUUGGGCGUAAAGGGCUCGUAGGUGGUUGAUCGCGUCGGAAGUGUAAUCUUGGGGCUUAACCCUGAGCGUGCUUUCGAUACGGGUUGACUUGAGGAAGGUAGGGGAGAAUGGAAUUCCUGGUGGAGCGGUGGAAUGCGCAGAUAUCAGGAGGAACACCAGUGGCGAAGGCGGUUCUCUGGGCCUUUCCUGACGCUGAGGAGCGAAAGCGUGGGGAGCGAACAGGCUUAGAUACCCUGGUAGUCCACGCUGUAAACGGUGGGUACUAGGUGUGGGGUCCAUUCCACGGGUUCCGUGCCGUAGCUAACGCUUUAAGUACCCCGCCUGGGGAGUACGGCCGCAAGGCUAAAACUCAAAGGAAUUGACGGGGCCCCGCACAAGCGGCGGAGCAUGCGGAUUAAUUCGAUGCAACGCGUAGAACCUUACCUGGGUUUGACAUGGAUCGGGAGCGCUCAGAGAUGGGUGUGCCUCUUUUGGGGUCGGUUCACAGGUGGUGCAUGGCUGUCGUCAGCUCGUGUCGUGAGAUGUUGGGUUAAGUCCCGCAACGAGCGCAACCCUUGUUCACUGUUGCCAGCACGUUAUGGUGGGGACUCAGUGGAGACCGCCGGGGUCAACUCGGAGGAAGGUGGGGAUGACGUCAAGUCAUCAUGCCCCUUAUGUCCAGGGCUUCACGCAUGCUACAAUGGCUGGUACAGAGAGUGGCGAGCCUGUGAGGGUGAGCGAAUCUCGGAAAGCCGGUCUCAGUUCGGAUUGGGGUCUGCAACUCGACCUCAUGAAGUCGGAGUCGCUAGUAAUCGCAGAUCAGCAACGCUGCGGUGAAUACGUUCCCGGG